rnacentral:rRNA from 1 species
UACAGAGGGUGCGAGCGUUAAUCGGAAUUACUGGGCGUAAAGCGUGCGCAGGCGGUUCGUUAAGUUCGAUGUGAAAGCCCCGGGCGUCAACCUGGGAACCUGCAUUGGAAACUGGCGAGCUUGAAUGCGGCAGAGGGGGGUGGGAAUUCCGCGUGUAGCAGUGAAAUGCGUAGAGAUGCGGAGGAACACCAGUGGCGAAGGCGGCUCUCUGGGCCUUUCCUGACGCUGAGACGCGAAAGCGUGGGGAGCGAACCGG